AGAGUGUAGCUCAGCGACAGAGUGUAUGCUUAGCAUGCACGAGGUCCUGGGUUCAAUUCCCAGUACCUCUA
rnacentral:tRNA from 1 species